AGCGAACGCUGGCGGCAGGCCUAACACGUGCAAGUCGAACGAACUCUUCGGAGUUAGUGGCGGACGGGUGAGUAACACGUGGGAACGUGCCUUUUGGUUCGGAAUAACUCAGGGAAACUUGUGCUAAUACCGAAUGUGCCCUUCGGGGGAAAGAUUUAUCGCCAUUAGAGCGGCCCGCGUCUGAUUAGCUAGUUGGUGAGGUAACGGCUCACCAAGGCGACGAUCAGUAGCUGGUCUGAGAGGAUGACCAGCCACACUGGGACUGAGACACGGCCCAGACUCCUACGGGAGGCAGCAGUGGGGAAUCUUGCGCAAUAGGCGAAAGCCUGACGCAGCCAUGCCGCGUGAAUGAUGAAGGUCUUAGGAUUGUAAAAUUCUUUCACCGGGGACGAUAAUGACGGUACCCGGAGAAGAAGCCCCGGCUAACUUCGUG
rnacentral:rRNA from 1 species